AUUGAACGCUGGCGGCGUGCCUAAUACAUGCAAGUAGGACGCAGUUGCGAACGUGUGAGUAACGCGUAGGUAACUGACUAUUAGAGGGGGAUAACUAUUGUAAACGAUAGCUAAUACCGCAUACUAGUAGAUGGACCUGCGUUGUGUUAGCUAGUAUGUAGGGUAAUGGCCUACCUAGGCGACGCUACAUAGCCGGCCUGGGAGGGUGAUCGGCCACACGGGGACUUAGACACGGCCCAGACUCCUACGGGAGGCAGCAGGAGGGAAUCUUCGGCAAUGGGGGGAACCCUGACCGAGCAACGCCGCGUGAGUGAAGAAGGUUUUCGGAUCGUAAAGCUCUGUUGUUAAGGAAGCGGUACUUAACCAGAAAGGGACGGCUAACUACGUGCCAGCAGCCGCGGUAAUUC
rnacentral:rRNA from 1 species